AGAAGAUGGUGACUGAGCUAGCAAGCACGGAUUGCAGCUAGCAAGCGUGGAGUGUGGUGGAGUGUGUAUUGUGGAUUCUGUGGCUCCUGCUUCCUUUGUCUCCAACCCAGCCGCCAACGAGACUGUAGUGGAGGACUCGGGCCGCCUGUGUGGAGAAGCAACACUGGAGGCAAAGACAGAAGAAGCAGGGAGAUCACUUCAGCAGCUACUGUGGACACUCUGAUGUUCCAUGCUGUAUCUCUGUAGCAUGCAUUGGUCUGGCUAUAUCCACAACUGGGUUGAUUAUUCCUGAUGCUAAAAACAGUUUCAAAACAUUCUUACAUCUGAGCCCAUUAUUAA